UUACAAAAAAUGUUGUGAUGCACCUAGUGCAUCCAGCAGGUGACGCUACCUGUUAUUAGAGCGCUAUUUAUUAUGAGAGCGUGAAUUCAAACGAAAUAUUCAAAUUAGUAAAUAUUAAAUGAUUAAAAUUAGUUAAAUUUUAUAUUCGAAGUAAAUAUUCAAAUCAUUU